GACGAACGCUGGCGGCGUGCCUAAUACAUGCAAGUCGAGCGGACUGAUUAAGAGCUUGCUCUUAUGACGUUAGCGGCGGACGGGUGAGUAACACGUGGGCAACCUGCCCUGUAGAUCGGGAUAACACCGAGAAAUCGGUGCUAAUACCGGGUAAUAUCUGAGAUCACAUGAUCUUAGGUUAAAAGAUGGCUCCGGCUAUCACUACAGGAUGGGCCCGCGGCGCAUUAGCUAGUUGGUAAGGUAAUGGCUUACCAAGGCGACGAUGCGUAGCCGACCUGAGAGGGUGAUCGGCCACACUGGGACUGAGACACGGCCCAGACUCCUACGGGAGGCAGCAGUAGGGAAUCUUCCGCAAUGGACGAAAGUCUGACGGAGCAACGCCGCGUGAGUGAUGAAGGGUUUCGGCUCGUAAAGCUCUGUUGUUAGGGAAGAAACAGUACCGAACGAACUAGGUCGGUACCUUGACGGUACCCAACCAGAAAGCCACGGCUAACUACGUG
rnacentral:rRNA from 1 species